GACCUGGUGGUGUACAUACGGCAGCACACCUGCUUUAUAUAUUUACUCAGCUAUUGUGUCAUUUAAGCAGGAGACCCCCGUUUGAAUCGGGGUCAGGUCU